GACGAACGCUGGCGGCGUGCUUAACACAUGCAAGUCGAACGGAAAGGCCCUGCUUUUGUGGGGUGCUCGAGUGGCGAACGGGUGAGUAACAUGGGAGUAACCUGCCCUUGACUUUGGGAUAACUUCAGGAAACUGGGACUAAUACCUGAUAGGAGCUCCUGCUGCAUGGGGGGGGUUGGAAAGUUUCGGCGGUUGGGGAUGGACUCGGGGCUUAUCAGCUUGUUGGUGGGGUAGUGGCAUACCAAGGCUUUGACGGGUAGCCGGCCUGAGAGGGCGACCGGCCACAUUGGGACUGCGAUACGGCCCAGACUCCUACGGGAGGCAGCAGUGGGGAAUAUUGCACAAUGGGCGGAAGCCUGAUGCAGCAACGCCGCGUGCGGGAUGACGGCCUUCGGGUUGUAAACCGCUUUCGCCUGUGACGAAGCGUGAGUGACGGUAAUGGGUAAAGAAGCACCGGCUAACUACGUG
rnacentral:rRNA from 1 species